AUUGAACGCUGGCGGCAGGCCUAACACAUGCAAGUCGAGCGGGAACUUCGGUUCUAGCGGCGGACGGGUGAGUAAUGCGUAGGAAGCUACCCGACAGAGGGGGAUACCAGUUGGAAACGACUGUUAAUACCGCAUAAUGUCUACGGACCAAAGUGUGGGACCUUCGGGCCACAUGCUGUCGGAUGCGCCUACGUGGGAUUAGCUAGUUGGUGAGGUAAUGGCUCACCAAGGCGACGAUCCCUAGCUGGUUUGAGAGGAUGAUCAGCCACACUGGAACUGAGACACGGCCCAGACUCCUACGGGAGGCAGCAGUGGGGAAUAUUGGACAAUGGGCGAAAGCCUGAUCCAGCCACGCCGCGUGUGUGAAGAAGGCCUUCGGGUUGUAAAGCACUUUCAGUAGGGAGGAAGAGUUGAGUGUUAAUAGUACUCAGCUUUGACGUUACCUACAGAAGAAGCACCGGCUAACUCUGUGCCAGCCGCCGCUGUAAAAC
rnacentral:rRNA from 1 species